UACACAUAUAAAUACUAGCCGCCUCAUUGGCCGCUCGACCGCACGUCAACGUCGCCGCCAUAUUGGAGCGGGAAACUCUCAUAACGCUCUCACAUCAAGACAGAAGAAAACAUACCAGGCUCAUCGACAGAUUGGACACCUACAAACCGUCACACGAUAAUAAAAACAGAUCUCGGGGUGUUAUCUUUUACAGCCAUUUGCAAACAGGACAAGGACAGCCUUAAGGAAAGCUGAAGAAACCUGUUCUCAGAGAUGAGACUAUACCUCCACAGACUAGUGUUGUGUUUGUACUAAACCCAGAGCAGCCCUGAAUGAAUCGACAGAAUGACCAGCUCAUAUUCUAAUACUAUAGACUGCAUUUAAAAAGCUUUGCCCAGGCUGUUUGAUGCUGAUAAUGUACUUUUUACACAAAAAUGAUUUAAAUAGCCUAGAAAUGAAAAACACACUCAUAGUGAGUCCAGCUGCAAUAUCAUGAUAAACUCAUUGUGAUGUUGUUAUAAUGAUUAUUAAUUUUGAUUAACAUAGAGAUUUUUGAGGGGACCAUCUCAUAUUCUGGUCUGUGAUAAACAUAACUAUACUUUGAGAUUUUGUUGAGCAAGGUAAACCUUACAUACUCGCACUCAAACAUUCAUACAACAGUCUUAAAAAAAAGGGUUCAAUAUAGAACCAUAGGGUUCUUUACUCAACUCCAAAGAACCUUUUAUGCUAAAAAGGUUCUAUAAUGACAAGAAAGAACCCUUUUGGCACAAAUGUUCUUUAGGCUAUUAUUCAUUCAUAUAUUACAUUAUUCUGCAACAUUUUGUAUUUGUAAUUAAAAUACUGUUUGUAGUAACUUAAUAUCACAUUUUAAUCAUGCUGAUUUUUAGAGAAAAACUGAAAUGGCACUCUUUGUGUGAUACUGAUUAACUACAUAAAAUGAUAUAAAUAUAUACAUUUUCUAACCCCCA